GAAACAGCCCAGAUCACCAGUUAAGGCCCCAAAGUAAUUACUAAGUGGUAAAGGAUGUAAAGGUACUUUGACAACCAGGAGGUUUGCUUAGAAGCAGCAAUCCUUUAAAAAGUGCGUAAUAGCUUACUGGUCAAGUGCAUUUGCGCCGAAAAUGAAAUGGGACUAAGUAAUUCGCCGAAGCUGUGGGAUUAUUUUCGGUAGAAGAGCGUUCUGUCCGAGUAGAAACAGUAAUGUAAAUAGCUGUGGAUUAGACAGAAGUGAGAAUGUCGGCUUAAGUAACGAAAACAUUGGUGGAAAUCCAAUGCUCCGAAAACCUAAGGAUUCCUCCGCAAGGUUCGUCCACGGAGGGUUAGUCAGGGUCUAAAAUGNGGUCUAACGACGUAGUUGAUGGAAAACAGGUUAAUAUUCCUGUACUAUAUUUGUUUAAUUAGUUAAAAGAGACGGAAUAUUUAAAGGUUAACCAGGUUUUGGGUAUUAUUUGGAUCAUUUGGGUUUUGAAUGAAUAGUGGUGCUACGGUGUCACAAUUAGUUGAUAUUUAUUUCCAAGAAAAUCUUUUAUAUUAAUCUAUAAUAGCAAAUAUACCUGUACCUUAAACUGACACAGGUAGGUUGGUAGAGAAUACUAAGGAGCGCGAGAUAACUCUUUCUAAGGAACUCGGCAAAAUAACUCUGUAACUUCGGGAGAAAGAGUGCCUUGUUGUUAUUCAAUAAGGUCGCAGUAAACAGACCCAGGCGACUGUUUACCAAAAACACAGGUCUCCGCUAAGUCGAAAGACAAUGUAUGGGGGCUGACGCCUGCCCAGUGCNNNNNNNNNNNNNNAAUUGGUUAGCGUUGCGAAGCUAGUGGCUGAAGCCCUGGUGAACGGCAGCCGUAACUAUAACGGUUCUAAGGUAGCGAAAUUCCUUNUCAGGUAAGUUCUGAACCGCACGAAAGGCGUAACGAUCUGGGUACUGUCUCGGAAAGAGACUCGGUGAAAUAGAAUUGACUGUGAAGAUGCGGUCUACUUGCACUUGGACAGAAAGACCCUAUGAAGCUUUACUGUAAUUUGAAAUUGGUUUUGGGUUUCUCUUGCGCAGCAUAGGUGGAAGGCAUAGAUUCUCUCUUUCGGGAGACGAGGAGCCAUAAGUGAGAUACCACUCUAGAGAAAUUAGAAAUCUAAUUGUAUUCUUUUAACAAGAUACUUGACAGUUUCAGAUGGGCAGUUUUACUGGGGCGGUAGCCUCCUAAAAAGUAACGGAGGCGUACAAAGGUUUUCUCAGGCUGGACGGAAAUUAGUUGUAGAGUAUAAAGGCAUAAGAAAGCUUAACUGUUAGACUCACAAGUCGAUCAGGGACGAAAGUCGGUCUUAGUGAUCCGACGGUUCUGAGUGGAAAGGCCGUCGCUCAACGGAUAAAAGUUACUCUAGGGAUAACAGGCUGAUCUCCCCCAAGAGUUCACAUCGACGGGGAGGUUUGGCACCUCGAUGUCGGCUCAUCGCAACCUGGGGCGGUAGUACGUCCCAAGGGUUGGGCUGUUCGCCCAUUAAAGCGGUACGUGAGCUGGGUUCAGAACGUCGAGAGACAGUUCGGUCCAUAUCCGGUGUAAGCGUUAGAGUAUUGAAAGGAUCUUUCCUUAGUACGAGAGGACCGGGAAAGACGCACCACUGAUGUGCCAGUUCUUAUUCCCAUAGGAUACGCUGGGUAGUCAAGUGUGGA
rnacentral:rRNA from 1 species